GGACAUCAGUGAUACUGCAUCCCCUCCCACUUGGCUCCUACCCUCCUCCCAAUAUGGCUUCCCAAGCUCAUCCACAACAGAGUUGUUGCCUGUAGAUGAACAUUUACAAACUAUAAUGCUUCACUCAGUCAGUGAAAUGUUUUCCAUUAUCUGGGCUGUGGGGAUAUAAAGUACUGCUACUAGACUGUGACCUACAGACAGGCACUGAUCCACCAACCAUGGGAUUCUGGCUUUCAGUGAAAU